UUUAAUUGAAUGCUAAGAGAAUGGAAGUCCAGAAAAAAACUUUUUUUAAAUUAAAAAUUGAAGUUUUUUUAAUUUGUGCAGAAACAAUUAUUUAUAUUAAAGACAAGAAGACCCUAUGAAUUUAUUAAAUUUUUAUUUAAUAUGUAAUUACUAUUAGAAAAAUUUUGGCUGGGGCGGCUAGAAAAUAUUAUGAACUUUUUAAAAAUAAAAUGAUCCAUUAUUAAUGAUUUUAUGUUAAAUACUCUAGGGAUAACAGCGUUAUAUUUUUUGAUAGAUCAUAUUGACAAAAAAGUUUGCGACCUCGAUGUUGGAUUAGGAUACUUUUUUAAUGAAGAUAUUAAAAAAAGAAGUUUGUUCAACUUUUAAUUUCCUACUUGAUCUG
rnacentral:rRNA from 1 species